AGGAUAAACGCUGGCGGCGUGCCUAACACAUGCAAGUCGAACGAGGUAGCAAUACCUAGUGGCAGACGGGUGAGUAGCGCGUGGUCAACCUACCGUUGAGUGGGGGAGUAACUAGCCGAAAGGUUAGCUAAAUACCGCAUACGUCUCCGAGGGGCAUCCCUUGGCGAUAAAAGGAGCAAUCCGCUCGAUGACGGGACCGCGUCCCAUUAGCUAGUUGGUGGGGUAACGGCCUACCAAGGCGUCGAUGGGUAGCUGGUUUGAGAGAGCGACCAGCCACACUGGGACUGAGAUACGGCCCAGACUCCUACGGGAGGCAGCAGUGAGGAAUUUUCCGCAAUGGGCGAAAGCCUGACGGAGCGACGCCGCGUGUGGGAAGAAGGCCUUCGGGUCGUAAACCACUGUCGAAGGGGAAGAUAAUGACGGUACCCUUGGAGGAAGCCCCGGCUAACUACGUGCCAGCAGCCGC
rnacentral:rRNA from 1 species